ensembl:lncRNA
UAGUAUGCCCAGAGCCUGUACUCUACUACAAGAGGAGCCACAAUGAGGCCAGGCAUGGCAACUAUAGAGUAACCCCCGCCCCCUGCAACUAGCGAAAAGCGCGCGCAGCAAUAAAAGACGCAGCAUAGUCAAAUAAAAAAAUAUUUUUAAAGAAACUGUGUUGUGUCCCAUCACCAAUACUACAUAGAAUAGAAAUGAAAAGCCACUAUUAUGUAAUCUUUAACUUGCAAAGAGAUUCUCUGGAUGAGAGGAUGUUAUCAGAGUUACAUUGUGCUGCUUUAAAGGUAGAGAAUACUUAUUGUUCCCCAAAGCAGUCAUAUACAUGGAUGUCCCUUGUGUGUGGUUUGGAGUCUGGACCUUAGCCUUGUGCCUCUCAUGAAGGGAUCAAAGCCUGCGCAGAGGCAGUCUCAAGUCUGAACACACUCAGUUCCCCCAUUCCUUAUUUUUCUUAUGUGGUCUGGAUUUCCAGGAGGGUGAUGACUAACAGUACUGCUAGAUUUAUGUAAAAGUACAGGACACUAGCUAUAUUCCAAGUUCAAACAAUUUUAGUAUAGGGGACAUACAUAUACUAAAAAAUUAUUCGUUUAUCGGAAACUCGAAUUAGACGUUCUGUGAAUCUUAAUUGGCAGCCCCUGCUUAUUUUUUCUUCGCACCGAUUUAACUUCACAGAAAAGUCUCAAAAUGGGAGGCAAAAGAAAUUCGCCUGGCCCCAAAGAAGAUGGAGCUCAGGGUAGUCGGCCUUUUCCCAAACUUGGCCUUUAAAAAAAAAAAAACCCACCCACAAGUCUCAGGAGCCUGCGCAUUAAAGCGGGCAGUGCAGCAGCUUUCCCGCCGGUUUUCUGCGGAAUGUGGCGCAGCGGCCACGCCGCGGGGUGGAGCGCAUGUUGCGGUGUCCUUGCCGGAUGCGAAAGGAGGUGCCAGAAACUUUAAACCUCAGCCAGAGUACAACGUGUCCACUUAGACGGCGGUGCUGCUACUAGUGAAAUGACAAACCAAAAGCAGGGAGAGGGAAGUCAGCCAUGGGCCAGGCUGGCCCACUGCCGGAGCGCUGGUUGGAGUGGUCUCUUGUUCCUGCCUCGUCGUCUCUCCUCUGCCCGGCCUCUGUCUGGGGUUAUUCCCCACACCCCCAUGUUGCCGCUGCUUCUCUUUUCACCAGCGGUCUUCUCUCCAGCUCCCCUCUUCUCUGAUGGGAGCUGGCACUGGCCCAGGUUAGCAAGAGGAAAAUGGACAUUCC